rnacentral:lncRNA from 1 species
GGAGAAAAUAUGAGAUGAUCCUUAGUUUAAAUUCUCUGCAAAGUUAAGAGUCUAUCAAAGUUCAUCCUGUGGUCAGAGAUGCUCGAUAAACUCCCUGUUUACCUCUGAACUGGGGGAUCUGAAGACACUGACAGUGGAACAAGGUUAUCUUCAUCUCUCUCCAUGGUAGAUUUUCACAACGUACAACACAGGAAACAAAGGGCAAAGACCAACACUAAAAGGUAACUUGGCUAAAAGACCACCCAUAUUUUGUCCCUGGAACUCCAAGUUCAUCAGAGAUCCAAGCUAUGAAGGAACCUUUUGCACAACAUCUUAUAUCUUUGGAUUGUGGUGGAUGUAUAACAUCAAGAGGAUGUGGAGGAGAUCUCUUCUGCAGACAACGAGAAGAAAAAGGCAAAGGAAUGCCUCGCUCCAAAGACAAUUGAAGAGAUGCGUAAAAUGUGGAAAGCAGUGCAAAAUUUUGUAGAAAAGCACCACUUGAAUAAAGCUGUAUUAGUGAGA